AAGUCGUAACAAGGUUUCCGUAGGUGAACCUGCGGAAGGAUCAUUAACACGUAUCCAAACGUUAAAACCGCCCCCGUGAACCUUCAUCGCGCUCUUGUAACCCGCGUAGUUCGCAAUCUCUGAUAAAUCAUAGCCCGGAAAUGCCCCCUAAUAACCCCACAGUUUAAUGUGAAGCUCAAUGUAAUACAUUGGGGAAAAAAACCGAACAACUGUUAACAAUGGAUAUCUUGGUUCUC
rnacentral:misc_RNA from 1 species